UACGGGGGGGGCUAGCGUUGUUCGGAAUUACUGGGCGUAAAGGGCGCGUAGGCGGUCUACUAAGUUGGAUGUGAAAACUCUGGGCUUAACCCAGAGCCUGCAUUCAAAACUGAUAGGCUAGAGUUCGGGAGAGGGAAGCGGAAUUCCGGGUGUAGCGGUGAAAUGCGUAGAUAUCCGGAGGAACACCGGUGGCGAAGGCGGCUUCCUGGACCGACACUGACGCUGAGGCGCGAAAGCUAGGGGAGCAAACGGG
rnacentral:rRNA from 1 species